GAAACAUCUUUACCUGGAGGUGGUUUCCUUCGGAUGUUUCUGGAAAACACUGAUCCUUGGAAAACGCAUAAAAAUCCUCCGGUAACUGCGUGGUUUGGAGCCAUCCAGAGCCAAGUGUUUGAAUGAUUUGAACAUCCUGGGAAAUGGAGAAGGGAGCUUGAGAAAAGACAGAAGAGCUAGAUCUGCUCAUACAGACUGAAAGCCUGCAGAAGAACUUUCAUAAUGAACUUACAAAUUGUACUUCUGCUUCCCUCUUAUGUGUCAACUUUGAACAGCACAGAGCAUCUUUGUGCUGGGGUCACCGGUCUGGCUUACAGAAAAUGCAGUAAGUGGCUCAUUAGGCAGAUCCUGUGCCUACCUCGUGCAUAGUUACCUAAUUGCCACAAAUUUUAUAUGCUGCUUGUGAUUUGUGAGAUAAAUGAAGACAGGGAUCACAGAUUUUUUUUCUUAUGGCAACAAGCAAGUCAGGAUUUCAAAAUACAAAUGUAAAGAAAAAUACUAUUCAGUCUCCUGAUUAUUUCUUGCACAGGUAGUGAUUUAUAAUCAAGAACUUGUUUUUAUAAAAGACUCAGUAGAAACUCAGCAAAGGAACUGUUUCCAUGCAUGCUUGUCCAUACACUUUUCUGCCUCAAGUUCAACCUACUGUCUUAUAAAACCUCCUUGCUUCUCCCCACAGUUGCAUUUCAGGGAAAUUUUCUCUUGUAUUUUUAAUGAAGUACCCAAGCAAUGAAAGAGGCUUUGUUCAUACAUCUUUUUCAAGUGAAAUAGAGUUAACUACUGACACUUCAGAUUAAGGAUAAAGUCCAAACAGAGUCAGAAAUUAAGAUCUGAUUGGAAAUCUUGGAGUCUACGGAACUAGGUUAAAUGAAAGUUAAAGAGGUUCUGAUCUUACAUUAUUUUAUAA